UGCAGCCACGCCCUCUUUCCUAGGGAGCUGGUGAGUGGCAGAUGCUUGCGAGGGGGGGUCCUUGGAAAAGAGGAGGGGUGCAAUGCAAUGCAAUGCAAUCUUCACGCCCCUUCAAGGGAUCAGAGGAAGGUGAAAUGAUUCUGGAUCUGUAUUCAAGACGUUCUCCUUGAGGAGCAGAAAUGGCUGCUGUAGGACCAGACCAGGGUCUGGUGAGCUUCGAGGAGGUGGCCGUGGACUUCACGGAUGAGGAGUGGGCUCUGCUGGGUCCAGACCAAAGGGCUUUGCACAGGGAGGUCAUGGAGGAGACUCGCGAGACUGUAGCCUU